rnacentral:rRNA from 1 species
UGGAAAGAGAGUUAAACAGUACGUGAAAUUGCUGAAAGGGAAACGCUUGAUGUCAGUCGCGUCGGCUGGGGAUCAACCUUGCAUUCGUGCUGGGCGUACUUCCUGGUCGACGGGUCAGCAUCAGUUUUCGUCGUCGUACAAGGGCAAAGGGAAUGUGGCACUCUUCGGAGUGUGUUAUAGCCUUUCGUCGUAUGCGAGGGUGGGGACUGAGGAACUCAGCACGGGCAACCUGUGCUUAGGAUGCUGGCAUAAUGGCCUUAAGCGACCCGUCUUGAAACACGGACCAAGGAGUCUAACAUGCGUGCGAGUGUUUGGGUAGUAAACUCGAGCGCGAAAUGAAAGUGAAAGUUGAGACCUCUGUCAUGGAGGGCAUCGACGCCCGGACCUGAGUCAUCGACGAAGGCUCUGCGGUAGAGCAUGCAUGUUGGGACCCGAAAGAUGGUGAACUAUGCCUGAAUAGGGCGAAGCCAGAGGAAACUCUGGUG